AUUGAACGCUGGCGGCAGGCCUAACACAUGCAAGUCGAACGAGUGGCGGACGGGUGAGUAAUGUCUGGGAAACUGCCCGAUGGAGGGGGAUAACUACUGGAAACGGUAGCUAAUACCGCAUACCAUCUGAUGUGCCCAACUGAGAUUAGCUAGUUGGUGGGGUAACGGCUCACCAAGGCGACGAUCCCUAGCUGGUCUGAGAGUAGGACCAGCCACACUGUAACUGAGACACGGUCCAGACGCCUACGGGAGGCAGCAGUGGGGAAUAUUGCACAAGGGGCGCAAGCCUGAUGCAGCCAUGCCGCGUGUAGUAAGAAGGCCUUCGGGUUGUAAAGUACUUUCAGCGAGGAGGCGUUACUCGCAGAAGAAGCCCCGGCUAACUCCGUGCGAGCAGCCGCGGUAAUUC
rnacentral:rRNA from 1 species